UUAGAGUUUAGUCAUACCUAUCAUACUAAAAAUGCACAGCAAAUUUUUCACAUCACACCACAAAACUUUAGUCAAGAGAACUAAGAAAAAUACUCAUAAUUGUAACUCAAAAAUCAAAGAAAAAAAUAUGCAAUAUUUUUUUUAAGAAAGAAAACAAAAACCAAAACAGAGAAAAACAAAGAAAACAAAACAAAUAAAUG
rnacentral:lncRNA from 1 species